UACGAAGGGGGCUAGCGUUGCUCGGAAUCACUGGGCGUAAAGCGCACGUAGGCGGAUCUUUAAGUCAGGGGUGAAAUCCUGGAGCUCAACUCCAGAACUGCCUUUGAUACUGGGGAUCUCGAGUCCGGAAGAGGUGAGUGGAACUCCGAGUGUAGAGGUGAAAUUCGUAGAUAUUCGGAAAAACACCAGUGGCGAAGGCGGCUCACUGGUCCGGUACUGACGCUGAGGUGCGAAAGCGUGGGGAGCAAACAGG
rnacentral:rRNA from 1 species